CAGCACCUCAAGUGGUCAGGAUGAUUAUUGGGCCUAAAGCAUGCGUAGCCGGCGCUGUAAGUUUUCGGUUAAAUCUGUACGCUCAACGUACAGGCUGCCGGGAAUACUGCAGCGCUAGGGAGUGGGAGAGGUAGACGGUACUCGGUAGGAAGGGGUAAAAUCCUUUGAUCUAUUGAUGACCACCUGUGGCGAAGGCGGUCUACCAGAACACGUCCGACGGUGAGGGAUGAAAGCUGGGGGAGCAAACCGGAUUAGAUACCCGAGUAGUCC
rnacentral:rRNA from 1 species